rnacentral:misc_RNA from 1 species
GAUGAAGAACGCAGCGAAAUGCGAUAAGUAAUGUGAAUUGCAGAAUUCAGUGAAUCAUCGAAUCUUUGAACGCACAUUGCGCCCGCCAGCAUUCUGGCGGGCAUGUCUGUUCGAGCGUCAUUUCAACCCUCGAGCCCCCCCGGGGGCCUCGGUGUUGGGGGACGGCACACCAGCCGCCCCCGAAAUGCAGUGGCGACCUCGCCGCAGCCUCCCCUGCGUAGUAGCACACACCUCGCACCGGAGCGCGGAGACGGUCACGCCGUAAAACGCCCAACUUCUUAGAGUUGACCUCGGAUCAGGUAGGAAUACCCGCUGAACUUAAGCAUAUCAAUAAGCGGAGGA